rnacentral:rRNA from 1 species
GGGUGCAAUCAUACUAGCGUUUGUGCACCGGAUCCCAUCAGAACUCUACAGUUAAGCGUUCUUGGGAAAGAGUAGUCCUGGGAUGGGUGACCUCCUGGGAAGUCCCUGUGUUACACCCUC